UACGUAGGGGGCAAGCGUUUGUCCGGAUUUAUUGGGCGUAAAGAGCGUGUAGGCGGCCUGAAAGGUCAGCUGUGAAAACUCGAGGCUCAACCUCGAGACGUCGGUUGAAACCAUCUGGCUAGAGUCCGGAAGAGGAGUGUGGAAUUCCCGGUGUAGCGGUGAAAUGCGCAGAUAUCGGGAAGAACACCCGUGGCGAAGGCGGCACUCUGGGA
rnacentral:rRNA from 1 species